rnacentral:rRNA from 1 species
AUGGCUGAACGACAUGAGUCCAAUGGUUGGAAAUUUGAGCACAACGGUAACAUUACUUGCGGAGCAAGUAAUGCUAACUCCUCAGUCAGAAAGAUAUCUCCUGCAGCACGAAGAACAAAUUCUACUAUUGCCAAAUGUAGCUCGUUCUUCUCUACAACGCAGAUAUACUUUGUUCCCAGCCCAGAUGAGCGGCGGCGGCGGCAGCGGCAACAUCUAGGCGUGAGCGCAGGUGGCGACAGCAUCAAGUCAUCAGCAUGGCAGCAACAUCUUCACGUGAGCAGCGGCGGCAUCAUCCUCUCAUGGCGGCGGCGUCCUCCAUCUCGACUCCAUCCUAUUCCUAGCACCAACGGGCGAUGUCAACCACACCGUUGGCAAGUUAACCACCAGGUAAUCAAGCAUCCACACCAUCACAUACCCACUUUCCCUUGUGCCAUCUCCAUGCCCUCCCCGUCUCCCACUAUGUCGCCGGCAAGAGCACCACCAGAUGAACGCUGGCAAGAGCACCAACAAAGGGAAGAUGGAAACAAGCUACAAAUUUUGUUGGAUGAAAACAAGAGGAAUUCUUUGAUGUGCCUUUUCUGUAAUCAUGUGUACACCAAUGGUAUUACUCGAAUCAAGCUCCACCUUGCAAACAUUCCAACUUCCGGUGUUGUUCCUUGUAAAAAAGUGCUAGCUGAUGUAAGGGAUGAAAUCACUAAGUUUUUGAAAAAGAAGGGUGAUAAAAAGGCAGCAAAAAUUUCAGAGCAGAAGAGGAUUAGAUGUGAAGUGGACUUGAGCCACUCAGAGGGGGAAGGUUCAAGUAAUGAAGAUGGCAGAAGCAAUUCUGUUGUUAUGCUUAAGUCGACGAGAGGCAAAACAUCUAAAUCCUCAGGUGGUACUAUGGACAAAUUCUGCCAACUAUCAGCUGAAGAUGCUAUCGCUGCAAGGAAGGCAAAAUCUAGUGAGAGCAUCCAAUUAAAGCUGACAACUGGGGAGAGACUGAAGAAAAGGAACCAUGCUUGUGAUUACAUAUGCCAAUUCUUCUAUGAAGCAUGCAUUCCCUUCAAUUCAGUCACACUUCCAAGCUUUGCCCUUAUGCUUCAGUCAGUUGGACAAUACGGCGAAGACUUGCCAGGUCCUAGUCUCUAUGAAAUGGGUGGCCCAUUCUUGAAGAAGAGGAAGAAGAAAGUGAUGGAAUCCUUCAAAGCACACAUGGAAGCUUGGGAGCUCACUGGAUGUACAAUCAUGACAGAUGUGUGGCCCGACAUAAGAGGAAGAGGGGUAAUGAAUCUGGUAGUCCAUAGUGCAUAUGGUGUGGUUUUUCUCGAUUCUUUUGAUUGUUCAGUUGUGAAGAAGGAUGGCAAGUACAUCUUUCAGCUUGUAGAUGAUUGCAUUGAAGAGAUUGGGGAGAAACAUGUAGUUCAAGUGGUGACUGAUAAUGCAAGAAGUGAAGCCAACAAAACUAUGCGCUCUGAAUCUUUUUGGAGAGGAGUGGAUAUUGCCGUGAAGUUCUUUGAACCAUUGGCUAAGUUGCUAAGGAGAAUGGACAGCGAUGUACCAACUAUGGGAUUCAUAUACGGCGCCUUUUUGGAUGCAAAUAAAGAGAUCUCAGCCAUGUGUGAAAAGGAACAACAAGAAUCUUGUUUUCAAGAAGUGUUGGAUAUAGUGGAUAAAAUAUGGGACAACAAAUUGAAGAUGCCACUACAUAGGGCUGGAUACUUCUUAAAUCCACACUACUUUUAUGAAAACAAGCUACAAAUUUUGUUGGAUCCAACAUUUAAAGAUGGGAUUGUAAGUUGCAUGGGAAAAUGGUGGAAGAUGUUCUCCUUCAAGACAAAAUCAUGGAUGAGCUUAAGGCAUAUCAAGGUGAAGAGGGCUGAUUGGUGGUCCAAUUAUGGGUCAAGUGCACCAAAUCUCAGGGUAUUGGCGAUGCGGAUUUUGAGUUUGACAUGCAGCUCCUCGGCUUGUGAGAGGAAUUUCAGUGUUUUUCAGCAGAUUCACACAAAAAGACGCAAUAGGCUAAUUCAUGACAAAAUGAGAGACCUUGUGUUCAUCAAGUUCAACUCCAAACUAAAGCAAAAGAGAGGGAUGGAAAGCAGGGACCCAAUUGAGGACCACACAUUUGUAGAUGUUGUAGAAGAUGAAGGUAAUGAGUGGAUCACUGGUGUUGUGCCUAUUGAAGGAGUGCAAACAGGAGCUGAACCAGAAGAUGUACAAGUUGUAGAACCAACAUCAGAAGGAGAAGUUGCUCCAUCAAAAAGAAAGAUAGUGUCUCAAUCUCGUCCUAGGAUGAAGAAGAAGUUGUUUCCUAUUUAUUGUGAUGAUGAGUUGCAAUCAGCCGAGUCUUCUUCUGAAUCGGAAGAUGAUGACAUGCAUUUACUAGCGAGUGAUUCUGAAUAA